UGCUCUGUGUGGCGCAGGAGCCGGGGCGGCUCCGGUGGCUCUCGGGGUUGUGCCCCUUGAGCUGUCCGGGGAGAGGGGUACGUGCGGGGCUGUAGCAGCCGCGGCACUUGGCUGUGGGACCAAGUACGGGCUGGGGGUUAAAGAGUAGCGCUGGCCUUGGUGGGAGAGGUCGUCAAAAGGGAGUAGGCUGGGUCAUGCCCUUGUCGCAUACCAGGUGACAGGCUGUGUUGGCUGUUCUGAGGCUUUUUUUCAGGGUUGUAGCUUCUGUCUGAUAAUUGCACUAGUGGUGCUUGGUUGUCAUAGACAUAGGGCUUAGUGUGACCAGCAGGAGGAGCUUUGCUUCCUCCUAGAGGCAGCUGCCCUCAGUAUGUCUGGAAAAGAAUAGGAUUAGAUUAGAUAUAAGGAAGACAUUUUUUAUUUCGAGGAUGGUGAUGCACAGAAACGGGCUGCCUGGAGAAGUUGUGGCUUCCUCAUCCCAAAGCCAGGUUGGAUGGGGCUCUGAGCAACCUGGUCUAGUGGAAGGUAUCGCUGCCCACGGCAGGGGGGUUGCAACUAGGUGGUCCUUAACGUCCCUUCCAACCCAGACCUAUGACUCUGUGUCCAUAGAGUCAUAUAUCAGCCUUGAAAAAGCUGAGAGAAUGGAUGAGAUGUUGUAAGGCAUCUCAGCAGUUCACCUAACUUGCUUGCCCAUUAUCUUAGCUGUGCUUGCUGUCUGAUGUUGGUGUGGCUUAGGCAGAUGACUGGGUGCUGUCUUAGUUUCAGCAUACCUCUGGCUGGCAUCUAGGAGGUAGGCUAGAAUUUUGACCAGCGGGUUUUAGACUUUAUUGUACUGCUUUUGCUAGGCUUUUGUGUUGGGGAUUGGGAAAUGAUCUGCUCACCAAAAGAGAGAGUAAUCAAAGCUCUCUUAGGCUUAAGGGGACUGAAGUUCCCUGAAACAAUGUAUAGAAGACUUUUAAUGUAAACUCGAAGGGAGGAUGCUCAAGGUAUUGCAUGGCUUGUGAAAUAAUACCCUUUCUGGCUACAAGUGAUUCCUGUGAAAUAAAGCACUUUAUUAUCUCAAGAAGGUACGCAAUUGAAAGGAGCUGUGAAGAGUUUUACAGGCUUGCUUGAUGUGUUAGCUAAAGUCCAGUAGUGGUACAGCUCAGGACAAAUGGGGCUGUGGGGUUUAUUUCAUGCUUUGGCUCCUCUUGGAGGUAAGUAGGAUGUAUUUGCUCAGGAUAUUGCCUCACAAUAACUACACAGAUAGUGUGUUUGCCCCAGGAGACACUCAAGGGGGGAAGGGAGGAUGUCAUGAGAUGUUCUGUGAUGCAUUUGCUUCACCUGAACAUUGCAACCUUUCAAAAUCUGCUGGUAUUACAGCAAUGUGUGCCAUUCUUCUGUGGCUUUAUAUGCAGCUCUCUUCAGCUAAAGAAUCAGAACCAGUUGCUUGCCAUCCUGUAAAAAGUCUAGUGUCCUGUAAGUGCUUCUCCUCAUGUCCCAGUUGUCCCAUUUUGCCAUAUUCAUGAGUAAAGAAAAAGAGAGGGUGGAAUGCUCUCUUGCUACUGUACCUUUCAUUAAUAGUUCCAUACAUCUGAAGAAUUCUGGAUUACAAGUACAGCCCUUUUUAUUUCUUUUCUACUUCUUUUUUCUUUCUUUGCAGAUACCUUUAGAUUAGGUGAACUGUGGGUGAAAUAAAGGGGCAGUGGCAUGAUGACUUCACAGUUACAACAGUGUUCCACAGUAGACUUUAGCCCUAUGCUUUUAUCUGCACAGCUGAUACCUGGUACUGAUGGUAAGUAUUGCAGUGGAAUUCUAGGGUAGGCUCGAUUGUGUUUUCUAUAACUGGCAGCAGAAGUGUAUGUGAAAUCUGCAACCAGGAUGAUCUGCUGGUCUAAUGACAGUUUGUUUUCUUACUUAAACUGGUUUAGAAACAAUUGGUUUUAAACCACCUGCAGUGGUUUCCCUCUCUCCCUCCCCAUCCCACUGGAGUCAGUGCUGCUGCUCUGAGAAGUGCACCUCACUUUGCAGAUAGUUUUUCUUCAUUGUUUUUACCAUUGUUUAUACCUUAUUUCUUUACGUGUAGAUGCCCUGAUGUCUCAGCAGAGAGUUGCUAUAGCAUAUCAAAAUGUAGGAAACAGGAAAUGACUUCAGAAACAACCCAAGUGAAUGCCUGAUACAAGAGACAAGUAAAACAGUUUUCUCUGUGUGUGUGGUUCACUUCAAUCAGUUUGGGGGUGUCUGAUACUUGUCAAUGUAUGGAUUUUACUCAUUGAUGACAACUUGUUAGAACUGUUAAUGACAAAACCUGUUUUCUAUGUGUCAAACUUGGAUAGUAUGUCCACCUGAAAGCGCUAAUGCACAAGUCUCUCCUGACCGAACAGAUCUUAGUUGCAAGAUCCACAAGAAGCUUACAGUCCUACUGCAGAAAUAAACAUUUUCUUGGCGUUUCAUAUAAAAAUAUGCAAGGUGGUGAUAGAAUUGAAAGCCUGCCUUCGGCUUUUCUUAAACACAAAGGUAUGCUCUACUUUAAUGCUGUUAGUGGAAACUUACUCUGGUGUGUGUCUGGUCCUCAGCCUAUGAAGCUGAUAUGUUUGUCUGUACUUGAACUACUAUGCUGACAUCCUACACUGCAAAAACUAUAGAUUUUCUUUGCUGCUGAAGUGAUUUUUGUCACUGUGGACUCAGGUAAGCAACCACCCAGUUUCCUGAAGACCUGGAGAAAGAGUUGGAAGAUCCUACAGGAGAUGUGAGGAAGAGAAGGAUAAGUAGGAAUGUGUGAUGACUUAAAGAAGAAAUUGCUAAAUCAAAGUUUAAUUUAAGUUCAUAUGUAGAAACCUGUCUUUGUGUCUCAGCUUUCAUUCUGACAAGUUUCCUCUAAAUGAAAGCGUCAAGGAUUUGGAUGCUCUACAUUGAGCAGUCACUGGAUACUGUACUACGCCAGCUCUGCAGUCUGCAUGAGAUACACAGAUUUCGAGAUGAAGUGUACAAAUAGAUUAUUAUGUAAUUUUUAAGGUGUCUGGUGUUGUAAUGCCACAGUGUCAACAUCCAUGGCAGCACAGCACAGAGAACUGUCAGGGGUUGUCUUGGUUCUUGCAAACUCACUGUCAGGCCUAACAUAAUUCGUGGUAUGCACAUUAGCAUUAGUGGAAUAUAGUUUGUAAGGAUUAUUGAUACCUUACAAGAGUACCUCUAUGCUACUCUUGGAAUGUGAGUUGUGUUUUAAAAUCCAAUUUUCUUAACUAUCCCAGCUGUAUAACUUGGUUGUCUACAGUCCCAACUGCUUAUUUCAAAGCCUCUGGUGGAAGGGUGUUAACUCUUUCACAUCAAAGUUACUGCUCAGAUGAUGGAGGAUGAAGAAGCUGCAAUGAAGUUUGGUUGGUUGGUUGGUUGCAAUUGUCUCCCAUGGAGCUGUUUCCUAAAAAGUUACGGAGCUGCAAAGUGAAAGGUGAGAGGGUGAAUUUAGCUGGGUAGAAUAGGUAAGUAUUUCUAUAUCAUGUUACUGUUUCCAAGUAUAUUAAUCAUAGCACAGAAGAAUGCAUUGUGUUGUCUUGGUUCUUUGACAGGGAGAGCUUGGAAAAACAGGAAGGAGUGGAAGGCUUCUGUGCCUUUUUUAAAUGUUUUCAAUGAAAUUGUGGGGAGGAAGCUGUUAAACCAGUAUCUGGAAGAGCCUAGUAUUCCUGCAUAGCAAAAGGAGUCUGUAAAGCUGCUCUGGAAAUAAUUCUAGUGACUAAUUAUGAAGUGUAACCUUUCUUUUUUUUGUGUCUUUCAGCACAAGAAGAGUGCUCUAAGAGCAGUCAAGAACCUUUUCAGUUAGCAUGAACAUGUUCUUCAACCAAAACGUGGCAGCAGUUCAAUAGGAGUUACACAACAGGAAAGGGUGUGCAGGCUACUGCAAGUCCCUGGGUUCAUAAGAUCUGGUAUCUGAAAGAACUCACUAGAGAGAAGAAUGUGGUUUUUUCCACAACUUCUGUCUUGAGUUGAAAAGAGAGCUAAUACUGCAACAGGAAAUUGAUUUUAUGUAGAUACUGGAGAUGGUCAUCACAAUAUGCAGGACUUCAAAAUGUUAGGACACUGAAAAACUGCAGGUAGUUUGAGUAAAAGAGGCUCCAGGGCUCCAGUUGUGGGAAGUUCCCUCUUCAGAAGGCACACUAACAGUGGGGUAAACUUGCUAAACACAAGGAGACUCAAAACAGUCUGUGGCUGUCUCUUAGCUACACAUGGAUAUAUCUCUUAAGGUGGGAUGGUGUGACAUGACUACUGAAGACCAUAGGGCUCUAAGCAGACCACAUUUCUCUUACGAGCACGUGUGCCACUAACCAAUUCAGAAGCACCCCAAAAGCUUCAGGUUUUGUCACAUAAUAGUAUUUCCUGGAACGAUAGCUUUUCUUUGUCCACCUCACUCCUGCAAAGCCAGCUGGCUCAUGGCAGCACUGCGGUGAAGAUACACCUUCCACACCCACGAAUUGCUGAAGACUUGCAUAGAAAAUUACUCAGACAGGCUCCAGAGCUGAGCAUAAAUCUUUUGGCUCGCACUGUUGAAGCUUUAAGAUACAUGAGUGCUUCCAUGUGGAACCACAAACACUCAGGCUGCGUGUUUAGAUGUACUUUGUGUUUGCACUGCCCUCUGCAGCACAAAGCUCGAUCCAGCCCUGUAUUGCAUAGAGCAGGUGGAGGUAUCGUGCUGAGACUGUGCUUGGGGUGGCCCUCACUCAGUUGCCACUGAUCAUGGAAAGGUCUGUUUUUGUUGUGUAGGGGUAAACCUGAGUUGGUAACCGAUACUGCUCAGCUGAUGUGUGUGUCUGUGCCAGGCGAGCAGUCCAUGAGCUGACAAAUCUUUGACCAUGGUACUAGCUCUUAAUACUUUCAAAAUAAUAAAAAGGGGGGGGGCGAGGGGCAGCAGAGGAUUUUUUUCAAGGGUCACAUAAGUUGUACUGAAAUUGAAAGCUCACUAAAAAUAUCUUUGUGGAAAGAAUACGUUUUAGGAAAUGAUGAUUCCUGUGACGAGAGCAAUGUGAGCCUUUAGUUAUGGCAAGCCUCCAGUGCUGUUCCUUGUCCCUGUUUUUGUGAGGUGUGGGUGAAAAGUGAACACAGGGAGAGUGAAAGCCAUAACCAGAGGUUAAAAUUUAAUUUUAGCAACCAUAGUUUUAAGUCAAAUGAUGCACCAUUAUUUAUUUUCUUAGAAAAUCCUGCAACUAAAUUGAUAGGCUGGAGUCUCUCAUUAUGCAUGCAAGUGUUCUCAGGUUCUCCAGCUAUUUGGGUGCAGUGGUGCAAAAUUUCGUGUCGCUUCCUGUAUGAUUCAGCUUAAAAUACUAGCUUAGGCAGGUGAGUACCUGAACAACAGUAUUGCAGUCAGAGCACUCCUUAGUGCACACAAACCAUUUCCUUUGGGUAAGUAAUGCUGCGCUGUGAAAAAGCACACAACUUCUGGGACAGCAGCAUUUGAUAGUGUCUGUACCAGAAUUCCCUGGGUUUGCUCUUUUCCUUGGUCUCUUUACCCAGACUUUUAGCUUUUCUUUACAUUAUCACUACCUGACUCUUUUCUACCACCUCAUUAUUUUUGGGGGGGUUUUUUGCUAUUUCUUUUCCAAGUGCCUCUUCCUGAAAAACUGGCUACCACAGUGAGUAUCACAGUUCCUGGACAAGUUUCCACUCAUGGUUUCACUUUCUUUAUUUUGUUAUCUACAUACAAAGUCCUAAGGAUAUAAUUUAGUGGACUGCUAGUGAGUAGCUAACAUUCAUGUCUUGACUGUGGUCUGCAUAGAUCAGGUUUGCACAAGCCUCCUGCUUCAUGAAUUCACUUCCUGUAAGCAGGACUAGUGAUAGCUCAAUGUAGUCGAGACGAAUCCCAGCAUGAAUAGAGAGCUGGAGUAAGAUGUGGGGUUUUUUUCCUUACCAAGAGUACCAAUAUAUUUUCCUCUUAUGGAACUAAUUCUUACAUGCGGGGAGUUGUAUGUUACCCCUGCACACGUAGCCAAAUAUAAUUUUAUAUUUAAUGGCAGAGUAGGUCUGCAAAAGAGAGAAUUAGGUAUUAAAAUGUUCCACGUGUAAUAGAUGAAAAGCUAAUCCCAGUUUCCUCCUGCUACCAAUGAAAUUGGCUGCUCUGCCAUAAACUCUUGCUAUGCUAAUAUGAUUUACUGCUCCACUGUGAUAAUGGUGAAUGUUGCUCUCUGGUGAGGACAAUGUGGUGGCAGCUGUUUCAGAGUGAUGAGCAGCGGCUUCGCUGUACAUGCUCUGCUUUAGCGGAUGUCAGCUAAAACAGCAGUUGCAUCCCCCAAGAGUUAGACUGUUGCUGUUGUUACCCUUUGUAGAGAAACGCGAAGUACGGGCAGGUGCAAUCCUCAGGUGAAUUGGCAAGAGGGUGUUGCACAGCCAAGUGGGUACUGUGUCUCACCAGGGAGGAAUGGCAGGGAUCAGAUUUACUAGCUCAUAUCACUGAGGUCCAUUUGGCCUCUCUCAAAUUCCUGCCCACUGAAAGCUCCUCUGACCUCUAGGGUAGAUUGUGACUGGAGUAACUGCUUUCUCAGUGCUGCGUCCUGGAAAAAAGGAGGUGAUGAAAUGGAGUUUUAGUAGGCCCAAUGAAAAUAAAUGGAUUUUCUUUUCAUUAUAAAUAAUACAUUUAUACAGUAAUUUAUAAGUAUUUUUGUAGUGUAAAUACAUUUAUAAAUACAUAUCUGGAAAUUGUGCAUAUAUGUAUAUAAAAGGUAUAUAUUUAAAUACAUUUGUAUACAUUAUUGUAUAAUAAUUCAUAAUUUAACACUUCAUAAAAUAUAAAUGAGUCAGUUGGGAGAAUCAUGGAAAAGUAGAGUAGUUUUGUCUUGCUGACAGACUCCUGGGAUAGAGAAGCUGUUUCCUCUUGAGCACAAAUCAAACGUGAAUAUCUGGUCCCCAACAAAUACAGUUUGUGUUAAUUAUUUUAUUAAAAUGUCCAAUCACAUCUGUCUUUUAAACUCUCAUCCCUGAGAAGGUUGUUUGGUUGUGGAUUAACCUUGUCAUGAGUAUUGAGGCAUGUGACAUGCUUGGCUAUGGAACCAGGUAUGUGUGGGGUCUCACAAGUUUCUGUCAACACUUGAGUGUUGUGGCUCUCUGAGAUGGAUAACAUUGCUGCCAUUCAUUCUGAGUGGUGUUGCAGCUUCGUUUGCACGAGUUUGAUGGUAUCUCAGGUAUCCCAGCCCUUUGCUAUGGGCAGUUCUCCAUUAUCUGAAGGUAAGUUUAGGUACAAAUCACUUCAGCCAAGAUGCUGGAUUUGGAAGAUACUGGGUUAGGAAGAUGCUUGCUUCAUUCUGUGCUAUGAGUACCACUCUUGGGUACUGUUGAUGUACCAGUCUUAUUCCUCCCAAAGGAAAUGUGCUCCCUGAGCUUUCCCUCUGCUAUGGUAGUGCUUUUAUGUUUGCAGUUUCCAGGUAACGUUCACCUCUGUGCAAUGCAAAGGGAUGGCUACUCCAGUCUUCCCUGAAUUUACUGCUCUGCAGUCAGUCACAGAGCAGGAAAAGCAAAGCAUUAUUUUGUUCGUGUCCACCAUUGACAAAUGGCAUUUGGUUUUUGUCAUCAUUUUGUUUCUAUCUAGGUGUGUGCCAACACACAGGUUUUCCAUGCUUCCAUUUUUUUUCUUUUUCUCUCUCCUUGUCACCCACACAUAGUACAUCACACUCAGUAUUUAGUGUGAGAAGCCCUAGGAUAAUUAUCAUUUGUUAACUGUGUGAAGGUGGUGGUUCUGAUGGCUGCAGAAUUCCAGCUAUUGCAUCCCAUCAUUAUUAAGAAGAAAAAAGAAAACCUGGAGGAAAGAGCCUUGCUUUCCUUCUUGAAUCUUGGGGUGGUGGGGGGGAAGGAGAGGGGACAAAUUAAUAACACUUUAAAAGUAGACAAAAAGUGCUUUUCCUGUGCUGAGUUUCAUAUUUUUAACCUUUGCAUUUUGAAAUUUCAGAGUAGCACUUUCCGUUUCCUAAACUGAUGACACCUGAGGAAAAACAGAUCUUUACAGCCAAUUGCCUCAAAUACUGCAAAGACAUAAGUGACAUUUUGCACAUGCCCUGUAAGUGCAGACCCAGUGUAUUGCUGGGAACCAACCUGUCACAGCUAAAAUACAAUCAUGCAAAAAGCCAUCAGCAGGCUGAGCAAACCCAGCCCUUCUUACAUGUUACUUCUACAGUGUUCUGUCUAAAAACUAUUAUCCUUUGGAAAACUAGCUGACACAUUUUAACGAGGAGAAUCAGAGUGCCUCUGUAGGGUUCCCCUAAUUUUAAUACAUUCAUAAUCAUAGAAAGAUUAUAUUGGAAGCCAUCUGUAGAUAAAUGUAACUUCCUGAGACAGCUUAAACUACUGAGCCAUUUUCAUAUAGCCCAUUUGUGACAUCAUCAGAUAUGUUCACAUUUCUGAGGCCAAAAUAAAAGGUGGCUUUGUGUUAGUUAUUUAAAAGACACUAAAAAUCAUAAAAGGAGCCCUGAUUUUAGAUAAAGUGAGUGCAUGCAGGUGGUUACACAAGUCAGUAUUCAGGCAGUGUUUGUGGUUUCUUAGCUCACCAGUUUUAUCUACAGAGCAGCAAAGAGAACAUGGAUUGUGUUAGCAAUCUUCUCCCAUGUGGCAGACACUCGUAGGCCAUGGCUGUAAGUUGGAACCUGGGCUGGAUACAGCUGUGAGAGGACUGAGGGAAUGGCAGAACCCAUAACACUAAUGGGCACAGAGAGGGUGUCCCUCGACCUUCUAUCUCCCGAGCUCCCCACCAGUCGCGUCACACCUCUGAAGUCUUCAGUGUAGCCAAAUACUACGUGGCACUGCAAAAUGCACGUCAGAGAUGUGGAUCUCUGCUGGUUCUGACACUGGAGAGGCAGCUGUAGCUGUUGGCAGACUGUACUGGUGUCUUGCAGGAUUAUAAUGUGAAUUCCUUAGUUAAUUGCUGAAGACAGCUGUUCCUCUGCCCUAUGCUUGGUGCACUGAUUUGCACACUUACAAGACAAAAGCAAAUUGCAGAACAGAGAGAUUUGAAUGUAAACCCAUCGCUAAACUUUGGCCUGGAAGCAUCAAGUUGUUCUUCUGAUCAUUCACAUUUACAGAAGGAACUGUAGCUAAAGGCACAUGUAUGCAACUGUGAAGCCUUGGAGAUCCUCUGGAGAUGGAUGCAGGCAGGGCAAUCCAGCUUGGAAGUCCCCAAGAGCAGCACAACAAGUGUAUAAUCAUUUUGUCCUUCUACUUAUUCUGGCCUUGUAUAAGAUGAAGCUGUGUGUCAUAUACUUAAUAUUAAAUGGACUGAAA